rnacentral:rRNA from 1 species
UACGGAGGGUGCAAGCGUUAUCCGGAUUCACUGGGUUUAAAGGGUGCGUAGGCGGGUUGGUAAGUCCGUGGUGAAAUCCCCAAGCUUAACUUGGGAACUGCCGUGGAUACUACCGGUCUUGAAUAUCGUGGAGGUGAGCGGAAUAUGUCAUGUAGCGGUGAAAUGCUUAGAUAUGACAUAGAACACCAAUUGCGAAGGCAGCUCACUACCCGAAUAUUGACUCUGAGGCACGAAAGCGUGGGGAUCAAACAGG